rnacentral:lncRNA from 1 species
CAUUUACAAAGUAUUUUCUCAGUAUUCCCCUUAUAAUGAGGUGGACUUACCCCAAGAACGGUGGUUUCUGUUGGCAGCCCGUUCUGCAGGUAAUCUUCGUUUUGGUACAUGUGUCCAGGUUUCUCUCUUUGAGGGAUAGUGAUGCCCUUUGGUGUAAAGCUGUGAGAAACCCCCAUGGUUUGGGAUUGUAAUAGCAUGAUGCUGAUGAUGCUGUUCUCGCAGCCUGGUCCUGUGUGCUGUGGCUGGGGAUCAGCUCACCUCUGGGGAGCGCUCAGCUGGAACCUCCCACUGGCUGUUCCUGCCAGAACGAUCUUGGUGCUC